rnacentral:rRNA from 1 species
UUCCCGGGCUUGUACACACCGCCCGUCACACCACGAAAGUCGGCAAUACCCGAAGCCGGUGGCCUAACCCGCAAGGGAGGGAGCCGUCGAAGGUAGGGUCGAUGAUUGGGGUG